CCUAAAUUUUUUCUUGUAGAUCAGACUCACUUCUCCGAUUAAAUGAUCUUUCUCUAAUGGUAUUCAAAAGUGGUUCCCAUUUAGGUGACUUUGUUGACAUCCGUUGUCCCAUACCAUAGGUUAUAAGUCGUUCUUUCUCUGAAUCGACCCAUUUACCCUUAUCUGAAAACCGAUUAGGGCUACUAGUCGUUGAGUCCAAAACUCGUUGGCUAGUAGUACCAUUCGAUGGCUUUUUCUUGCUUGGCUUUUCCUUAAUAUACGUCAUGGGAUUUUUGGCUAUGCCGCUAAGUCUUUUAGCAAUUGGAGCCAAAUCAAUAGGAGAUACACUAGAUUGAAAAGUUGAAUGAGGUAACAAGAAGUAAAUAUUACCUUGUUGCAACAUGUAAUCAAGAUUUAGAGGUUGUAAACAAGUGGAUAAAAGUUGGGAUUGAGUGAAAAUAAAGUGCUUUUGGAGUUUUCCCAUGACUUCACUAACACUAAUAGGAUGAUCAAAAUCUUCUACAUAGCCAUUCAAAUGCACCACUCUAAUAGUCAUGAGUUUAUUAGAGUGUCCAAUUUUGAAAGAAAAACACCAAUACAUUUUUUUUUCUUUCUUCUUCUUGGUUUUGAGAUAGAUGAUAAUUGGCAAUUUAUACAUAUGUUGGACUUUGAAAAUCUUGGGUUUAUCUAUUAAAUCCCAAUCAGCCUAGUAGGCUAGUUGCCAAUUGGAGAAUGGAAAUACUCUCACAUGUGCCACAAAUAAUGAAUUUUGUCAUAAUCAUAUAAUUGCCAUUAUAUUAUAUUUAACAGAAAUGAUAAAUAUACGUACUUAAUCAACAUUAUAUAGAAACACCGUUGAAGGUUUUAACAACUUUGGAUACAAUGACAUUAAUUCAAUUACCUCUAACUAUUUUUACAAUAAUAGAUAUUGCCGUUGAAAGGAAAAUUUGUUGUCACUAAAUGUCUAUUUUGUUGUAGUGGCAAUGUGAUCAUAAAUUUUUCUUUUAAAAAAGGUUUCUUGUUUGGUGUUCAGUGUUCGAUAUUUGUAUUGGGAACUGAUCCGCACCUUCAACAAGAAGUCAUUAGUUGCACGUUUUGCCUUUUAAGUAAGAUUUUGCUUUAAAAAAUGAAAAUAAAUUUUAUCCUUCAAAUGGGAUGAUCUUUAAUUUUUAUCUUUUAGCAAUUGAAAUUUUGCCUAGCGGAACAUAAGUUCUUUAGAAAUUAAAAUCAUGUAUGAGAAUAUCUUAUGAUACAAAAAUGUAAACACACGCCCCACAAAAAAAUUAUUUGUUACGAUGGUCAUAAAUUAAAGACUAAAACAAAAUAGGAACAAAAGUUCAAAUGACCCACAAGAACUCCCACGUUGGAAAAAAAACCUCCCUGACAAAGGUAAUUUCACAUUCAGGAGUGUUUGUGUCGAGACCCAGACCAUUGUGAUUGGCGUCCACACUAACUCUCUGGUGGGAGAACCACUACUACAAUCCAAACCAAGCAACUAAACCAAAAACUAAGGCAUUUAAGGACAUGAAAACAGGAAUAAUAGCUAAAACUGAAGUUCUCAUAAACUUUCAAAAGAUCUAGCAACUAACAAUGCAGAAAAAUACACCUAGAAUCUGAAAGUCAAUGUACCAAAACAUCUAACAAUGAACCAAAAGUCUAAACAAGAAGGGUCAAAAUCCCAAACUAAUGAACUAUUAACUAACUAGAAAAGUCUAAGUCCAAAAUGUGGACAUAUACAAAAGAGCUCAUGGCAGCCCGGAAGAAUUGGUUCACCCUUGAAUUCGAAAGGAUCACUGAUCUUCUAGACAAGGUCUAUCAAUAGCCACUUGAAGAUACCCUGCACUCGACAAAAAUAAGAGCAAGUGCAAUAUCAGUACACAACCACAGUGUACUGGUAGGAUCACGCGGCUAUCCCACUAAGUGUAACAUACAUAAAUCAAUACAACAAUAUAAUCACAUGUAUAUAUCAGACAUAUACAAUAUUAUCAACAUUUACGAACAACGAACAACUUCACAUUUCUCAAGAUGCACAAUUAUGACAAGCAGGGGUGGAUUUACGUUGAACCAUGAGGGUUCAUCCGAACCCCCUUGUCGAAAAAUUAUACUAUAUAUAUAAAGAUUAAAAUAUUAAUUUACGUGUAUAUAUAUACUAUUGAACCCCCUGAACAUACAGCAAAGGCGUAGCUUAGUGGCUUUGGGGGUUCAGGAAUUUGCUCUAUUGCACGCGAGGUCGCGUGUUCGAAUCUGGGCAAAGGCAUUUUUUUAUCAGCUUAUAUUUUAGGAGUUUUAAUUUUUUAAAAAUAAUAAUAAUGCAAUCAGAAAAUGAUGUUUAGUUACCAAAAAUUAAAACGCUGAUUGGGAAUUUUAGGAUUUAUUAGUUUAACCCCUAAUUACAAAGUCAAAUAUUAAAAAACCCUUUUCUUCUUGAUUUGAUCCGUUUAAUUCGACCCGUUUAUUUGUGGAUAUUAUUUACGUGAUUAAUUUUUUUGAACCCCCUUGAUGAAAAUCCUCCCUCUGCCACUGAUGACAAGUCAUUGGUUCUCUCAUGGAACCCAAAUCCAAACAAUUAGCAUACCGGAACAUGGUAUUUGAUCCCAUAGUUAUACCAGAACGUGGCAACCGAUCCCAUAUUUAUGCCGGAACGUGACAACCGAUCCCAAUUAGUUAUGCCGGAAUGUGGCAACCGAUCUAUUCACCACACCACAAUCACAGACAUAAAUACAUUCUCAUAAUCAUACAAAUCGAGUCAUGAUUCAAUGGCAUUCGACAAUCAUAUAUCCUUAUUUACAACAAGUGUGAUCAAAUAUGCAACAUCCACACAUACAUGUAUCAUAAUGAAGCAAGACAAACAUACAUCACACAAUCAUAGAAUCACAACCAUCACUUAUCUCGAAACAAGCUUGAAACCCUAAGAAACUUGAUUCUUCCCCUUCCGGAUUUGUUCCACUUGUUCUUGGUCUACAAACGAUCAAUAUAAUUCGGGUAUCAAUAAACAAUCACCAAUUACCCGGAUUACUAACAAUUCUAUGAACUCUAAAUGAAACUCAUGAUCCCAAUUAUCCAAAUUAGGGUUGUUUCCAUCAUAGAUUCUAGAUCAAAACCCUCACACAUCGAUAUUUACCCAUUAGAUUACGUUCUACGGAUCGAAAACAGAUUCGGGGAGUUAAAAUCUUACCUUUAGCCUCAAGAAUGGUGGAAAACGCUCAAGAAAACACCCGGGGUCGUUCCUUAGCUCUCAAAGUUGAAAAGUGCAGAAUAAAACGUUUUUGGGGUUUAUUUACGACUUUAAGUCACGUCUGGCCCGCCACAGCGACACCGCCAAAGCGACCAAAACCACCGCCAAGGCGGCUUGCACGAAACAGUGAGCUAUUUUAAUAAUUCCAAAACCCCCAUUUCACAACACACCUUUAACCAACGACGCUCAGAAAAUAGCCUUCACGCUAAGAUCGAUUCCGGGAGUUCUACUCACCCGAAUUCAAUUCCGUAAAGUUGUACGGAUUCCUUAACGACUUAUCUAACUACUCAUGUAAUCAAAAUCAUAAUUAAAUCACCCGAUUGUUAUCAGAUUUCCCUACACCUCAAUGACUCCGAUUUCGUCCAAAUCUGGACUAGGUUGGGAAAUUCCAAGUUACUACGAAAAAGUUUUUCGACCCAAAAUUUUUCCCAGUUAGCUUUUCUAUAACGACGGAACUCGAUCGUUAUAGUUUGAACCUAAAAUCUCUAGUUAAAAAUUGAGGAAUAACUUACCACUUUGUCGCAUCCCUGGUUAGUUAUUUGAUCAUUAUUUUUAAAUGGUUUUUUUUUUAAUGUUUUAAUGAUAUAUUCUCUCUCCCAAUUUAUAUAUGACAUAUCUUAUAAUCUGUCUAUAAAAUAGUGAUAAAUUUUAUAUUUAAAAAUAAUUUGAAUUUAAAAGUUUCAUUUUAUCUUUAAUAAGAGAAUUUAUAAUUACACAAAUAUCUAUGACUUAUUUUAAACCAUACAUUUUAAAAAUUACUCUUUCUUUUUUAAAUUUGAUAUCGAAUCAAACUAUAUCAUAUAGUUGAGACAAAGGGUGUACUAAUUAAUUUUCUAUCUACAUAAAAGGAAAAACUUUAUCUUUUAGGAGUAUAUGUACGUAUUUAAGUUUCACACUAUAUUUAAGUUAUUUUGUCUUGUGUGAAAGUCAAUAUCAACACUAUUAUCAUGGUGAUGUAAGUACUUUUUAAUUCAACUUCUUCAUUUUUCCAAUUUAAUGUUGUAGCAUUAUUUUUCAAUCUAAUUUUUCUGUUUUGAUAAGGUAAAAUCAGCUAAUUUGAUCUCAUAAAACCAAGCAAGUAAGAUUAACUAUUAGGAAUGACAAUAAGACGAAAUGAGGCGUACACCUAUCUUUACAUCGAUGUAAGGUGAAGACGAGGCGAGUUGAAACUUACUAAAAAAUAAUAUUUAAUGCGGUUGAGACGGAUUCACUAGAAUUAUAUAUGAAAUUCUAAAUUUUCAAGUGUAAAAUCAAUCUAUAAAUAUUUGAGUUCUUUAGAAUCUAAAAUCAUAUCGAAGAAUAACUUAUGAGAUAUUAUGAUACGAAAAUAGAAACAUACACCCUGCAAAAAUAUCAUUUGUUAUGAGGGAAAAAAGACUCCCUACAAAGACAAUUAUGUAUCCAGUAGAGUUCGUAUCUAAGAAAUUUCUAGUUAAAAAUGAGGAAGUAUUUACCACUUUGUCGCAUUCCAUAGUCGGUAAUUUGAUCAUUAUUUGUUUGAUUGUUUCUUUGAAUUUUUAAUGAUAUGUUUUCUCCGUUUGAAUUUGUAUGACACAAUUUGUUAGUCAAUUUUUUUUUUAAAAAAAUAGUACUUUUUUAAAAAACUAAUAACUAUUUAAAUUUAAUUCUCAUUUUAUCCUUAAUAAGAUGAUAGAUAGUGACACAAAUAUUUAUAACUUAUUUUAGAUUAUAAAUUUUAAAAUGUGUUCUUUCCUUCUUAAAUUUAAUAUCCCAUCAAACUACACCUAAACUUAGAUGGAUGAAGUACUAAUUAAUUUUCUAUCUUCAUAAAAGGAAAAACUUUAUCUUCUAAGAGUAUCUAAUUUAUUUUCUAUCUACAUAAAAGGAAAUAUUUUAUCUUUGAAGAGUAUCUAAUUUAUUUUCUAUCUACAUAAAAGGAAAUAUUUUAUCUUUGAAGAGUAUCUAAUUUAUUUUCUAUCUACACAAAUGGAAUUUUUUUUAUCUUUUAAAAGUAUUUGUGUUUAGUCCAACAACAUAACUUUUACACAUCAUUAAAGUUCUUUUAUCUUGUGUGAAAGUCAACAUCAACACUACUAUAAUAGCGAUGUACGUACUUUUUAAUUCAACUUCUUCAUUUUUCCAAUUAAAUGAUAAUACCAUUAUUUUUUUAUCUACUUUUUUCUGUUCUAAUUAGGCAAAGUUAGCUAAUUUGGUCAUCAUAAAAUUAAGAAAGUAAGAUUAACUAGUAGAAAUGACAAUAGAACACAAUGGAGUGAUUCUGCCUUUAUGCGGGUGAGAGGUGGGGUGAGGCGAGGCAAGUUGAAACUCAUUAAAAAAUAUUUAGUGUGAUCGAGACGGAUUCACUAAAAUUAUAUAUGAAAUUCUAAUUUUUCGAUCAAUAUAAAACUAUUUGAGUUAUAGAUGAUGACAAAAUACUUCCUUUGCCUAGUGGAACAUAAGUUCCAAUUAUUGUUCCUACUUGAUCAACUUGUAAUUAGUCGAAUUUCAAAUAAUAAAUUUAGGUCAUUUUCCUUCAUUAAAUUCAUAUGUUCUAUUUAUGUAGAUGUAGAUGUAGUUGUGUUCAUAAAAAUUGUCAAUGACUAAUUGUCUCACUCUUAAUUAUGACUACCUAAUCAAAAAGUUCAAUCUUGAAAUUGAAAGUGUAUACUUUUAGUCUAGAUUGCUGGUUAGUUGUCACGUUGGUCAAAUUUAAUUAUUGACACUAGAGUACUAGAUAUAUAAGAUUUAUUGAUUAUUUAUAAUUAAAAUUAUUCAAAGGCAUUAAAUGGUAAUUAUCUCUGUUUAUUAUUAAAUAAAUAGUCUGUUUGGAUAGACUUAUGAGUUAGAAUAUAUAUAUAUAUAUAUAUAUAUAUAUAUUUUGAAAAUUCCAACCUAUGACUUUUGACUUAUUUUUAUUUUUUUGGUUUAAAAUCAAAUGUUCAAAAAAUAAUUUUAUUUUCCCAAACACAAUAAAUAUAUUUAAAAAUAUAAAAAUAAGCCAAUUAAAACAUGCUCAAAGUAGCUUUUGUCGAUUGACUUUUUCUCUGACUUUAGAGCAAACACAGAAGCAAAAUGAUCAGGUAACCAUUGGCAGCCUUUACCUGAGUCUACUUGGAAACAGACCUAGAGUGCCCUGGAGAUGUCUGAUAUUUGCCAACUCUGCAAGACCAAAGGCCAUUGUUACUAUGUGGCUCCAAUUCAAACAACUACCAACUAGUGAUAGGUUGGCUUCAUGGGGGAUGGAUAUAAAUCAACAAUGCAAGCUGUGUCAAAAUGAACUUGAAACUAGAGAUCACUUGUUUGUCUAUUGUGAGUUUACAAGAGCUAUUUGGAGGAAGUUGAUGGCAUGGAUUAAAUGGCCAGACUAUACUUUAGAUGCUUGGGAUACACACUUGAAAUGGAUCAUAGAGAAAGCCAGAGGCAACAAUUUGACUGCCCAGCUUUUCAGACUAAUGUAUGCAGAAUGUAGUCAUGCAGUGUGGAUAGAAAGGAACCACAGAAUUUUUGAAGACAAAUGUAGAAAUCUUGAACACGUUGCAAAAGAGGUGGCUUAUAUGUGUUGUAUGAGGGCUCCUACGGCCAUUAGUUCUAGGUUGCAACAACUUAGCUUUGUGUGAAGUUGUAUCUCCUUUGAGUUUUGUUUUUUUUCUGAUUAACAAACUGUGAUGUAGUUUGUUAUGUUCUAUAAAUACCAGUUGGUGAUUAAUAAAUAUACAGUUAAUUACAAAAAAAAAAAGAUAGAAGAAAUAAUACAUCUCAAAGGGCUGAUUUUAACAACCAGGUGUGCUAGCUAGCUGCUUUUAUCUUUUUUGGUUGACAAAAGCUAUGGAAUUUCUACACACUUACCCUUUUCCUUUUCUUUCUUAUAUAAUUCCACACAUAACCAAAUAGUCAAAUUUAUAAAGUUGUAAGAGUUGGUGAACAAACAAGUCCAUGCUAUUUCCUUUUUAGCAUCUUGAUUUAUGUCAAUGACAUUGUUCUUUGAUGAAAAUCGAUACUAAGUCAAAAUGUUCACGUUGAAGUGUGUGACUAUUAUUCAAAUACAUAAGAGUUACAUUUUAUAAUGUGAUUUUGCGAAUUGAAGGGACAUAGAAAAGAGAAUAGCUAUAGAAUUGUUGGUUACCCUUUAGAUUUCAAGAGUAUAGAAUGAUGUUUAGUUCAUUUGAGAAUAGCUAUAGCAAAAUAUAUGCAUACAUACAUAAACCGGAAACAUACAACCAUCACCUACCUCGAAUUAUGCCAAACUUUUCCCCUUGCGAGGUGUCUUGAUUUGUUCUUAGUUUAAAACCAUAAUAUAAACACCAAUAAAUUACUAAUGGCCGAAUAAUUUAUCUAUGACAUAUUUUUUAAUCAGUCUACAAAAUAAUGAUAAAUUUUUAUAUUUAAAAACAAUUUAAAGUUAAAAUUUUCAUUUUAUCCUUUAUAAAAUAAUUUUUAAUCACACAAAUAUUAUAACUUAUUUUAAACUACAAGUUUUAAAAUCUUUUUUAAUUUAGAUGUCAAUCAAACUAUAUAAUAUAAUUGAGACAAAGGGUGUACUAAUUAAUUUUCUAUCUACAUAAAAGGAAAAACUUUAUCUUUUAGGAGUAUAUGUACGUAAUCCAACAACGUUACUUUCACACACCAAUAAAGUUAUUUUGUGUUAUGUGAAAGUCAACAUCAACACUAUUACUUUUUAAUUCAACUUCUUCACUUUUCCAAUUUAAUGAUGUAUCAUUAUUUUUUUAUCUAAUUUUUCUGUUUUGAUAAGGCAAAAUUAGCUAAUUUGAUCAUCAUAAAACCAAGCUGGUAAGAUUAACUACUAGGAAUGACAAUGAGACUAAAUGAGGCAUAUAUAUCUUUACACGGAUGUAGGGUGAACUGAGACGAGAUGAGGCGAGACGAGGCAAUGCGAGGUGAGUUGAAACUUACUUAAAAGCAUAAUAUUUAGUGCGGUUGAGACGAAUUCACUAGAAUUAUAUAUGCAAUUCUAAAUUUUCUGGUGUAAAAUAUAUAUAUAUAUAUUUGAGUUAUAGAAGCAUGACAAAAAAACUAUUUCCUUUGCCUAGUGGAACAUAAGUUCUUUAGAAUCUAAAAUCAUGUCCAAAAAUAACUUAUGGGAUAUUAUACUACGAAAAUGAAACUUAAGCUCUGCAAAAAUAUUAUUUGUUAUGAGGGACAUAAAUUAAUAGACUAACACAAAAUCGGAACAAAAAUUCAAAUGACCCACAAAGUUUCGCAUUGGGGAAAAAAAGACUCCCUACAAAGACAAUUAUGUAUCCAAUAGAGUUCGAACAUAAAAUUUCUAAUUAAAAAUGAGGAAGUGAUCAUCACUUUGUCGCACCCUUUGUCGGUAAUUCAAUCAUUAUUUGUUUAAUUGUUUCUUUGAAUUUUAAUGAUAUAUUUUCUCUGUUUAGUCAUUUUUUUAAAAAAAUAAUAAUACUUUUUUAAAAACCAAUAACAAUUUAAAUUUAAUUCUCAGUUUUACCUUUCUUUAAUAAGUUGAUAGAUAGUAACACAAACAUUUAUAACUUAUUUUGGAUCAUAAAUUUUAAAAUUUGUUCUUUCUUUUUUAAAUUUAAUAUCCCAUGAAACUAACCUAAACUGAGAUGGAUGAAGUACUAAUUAAUUUUCGAUCUUCAUAAAAGGAAAAACUUUAUCUUCUAAGAGUAUCUAAUUUGUUUUCUAUCUUCAUAAAAGGAAAUACUUUAUCUUUUAAGAGUAUCUAAUUUGUUUUCUAUCUACAAAAAUGGAAAUUUUUUAUCUUUUAAAAGUAUUUGUAUUUAGUCCAACAACAUAACUUUUACACAUCAUUGAAGUUCUUUCAUCUUGUGUGAAAGUCAACAUCAACACUGUCAUAAUAGCGAUGUAAGUACUUUUUUAAUUCAACUUCUUCAUUUUUCCAAUUAAAUGUUAUACCAUUAUUUUUUAAUCUAUAUUUUUCUGUUCUAAUAAGGCAAAGUUAGCUAAUUUGACAAACAUAAAAUUAAGAAAGUAAGAUUAACUAGUAGAAAUCUGCCUUUAUGCGGGUGAGGGGUGGAGGUGAGGCGAGACAAGGCGAGGCAAGAUGAUUUGAAAUAUACUAAAAAGCAUUUAGUGCGGUUGAUGUGGAUUCAGUAGAAUUAGAUCUGAAAUUUUAUUUCGUUGAAAUCAAUAGAUAACUGUUUGAGUUACAGAAGUGUAACAAAAAUAUUAAAGCGGAGGAAAUACUCACUAGUUUUCUAUCUACAUAAAAGGAAAAAACUUUACUAUCUUUUAUGAGUAUAUGUGCUAAAGCAAGUAAGAUUUAUUAUUAGGAAUGACAAUGGGACGGAAUGAGGCGUGUUUGUUUUUACACAAAUGUAGGAUGGAGUGCGGCGAGGCAAGUUGAAACUUAUUAAAAAAUAUUUAGUGUGAUCGAAAUGAAUUCACUAGAUUUAUAUGAAAUUCUAAUUUUUUUUCAGGUGUAAAAUCAAUAUAUAACGAUUUGAGUUAUAGAUGCAUGAUAAAAUAUUAUUUCCUUUGCCUAGUGGAACAUAAGUUCCAAUUAUUGUUCCUACUUGAUCAAGUAGUAAUUAGUAGAAUUUUAAAUAAUAAGUUUACUUCAUUAAAUUCAUAUGUUCUAUUUAUGUAGAUGUAGAUGUAGAUGUAGUUGUGUUCCUAGAAAUUGUCAAUGGCUAAUUGUCUCACUCUUAAUUAUGCCUACCUAAUCAAAAAGUUAAAUCAUAUAGAAAUUGAAAGUGUAUACUUUUAGAUGGUUGGUUAGUUGUUACGUUGGUCAAAUUUAAUUAUAGACUUCACCCUAACAAAAAAAUAAAAAUAAAUAAAUAUAUAUAUAUAUAUAUAUAUAUAUAUAUUGAUUAUUUUAUAAUUAAAAUUAUUCAAAGGCAUUAAAUGAUAAUUAUCUCUGUCCAUUUUUUAAAUAAAGAGUCAGUUUGGAUAGACUUAUAAGUUAAAUAUAUAAAUUAAGAAUUCUAUCUUAUGACUUUUGACUUAUUUUUUCUUUUUUGUAAAUUUAAAAUCAAAUGUUCAAAAAUAAUUUUUAUUUUCCCAAACACAAUAAUUGUAUUUAAAAAUGCUAAAAUAAGACAAUUAAAACAGGCUCAAAGUAGCUUUUGUCGAUUGACUUUUUCUCUGAACAUGUUUUUAAAAGUUAAUUAAGUAAAUAGUUGAGAUAACGGUUCAAAUCGAUCAAUAGGUCCAAUUAAUUAAUACUCCCUCUCUCCCUAAUUACUUGUUCACUUUUGAAUUGACACAUCAAUUAAGAAAACAAUUAUUGAUAUAGUAAUUUAUCAUUUUACCCCUAUUAAUUAUGAAGUGGAUGAAUUAAAAACUUGAGAUUUUAAAAAAGUUAUACCUUUUUCAAAGUAAUUAAUUGAGAGUAUAAUAGGUAAAAAGAAAAUUGUUCUUUCUUGAUUUGCCAAAAUAGACAAAUAAUUAGGGACAACUAUAAAAGAAAAAGUUGACAAGUAAUGAAGGACGGAGAGUAUUGUAUCUACUUUAUCAAUUUGUAAGAGGAAAUUACAUAUAUUUAGAUUAUUUACCUUCUUUAAAUUCAUAUCAUAGUAGAAUCAUUAGUGACGGCUUGUCUUCACUUUACGUCUUCUGUCCAUAAUUGAUUUGACGCACUCUUUAAAAAAAAUUAUUUGUUAUUUUAUUUUUAAUUAUGAUAAAUUAUUUUACUAAUUGAAAAAUGAAUUUUAAAUAAUAAAUUAUCUCUCGAUUUUAAAAUUUGAACCGAUAAAAAUAAUCAUCUAAACAAGUAAAGAUACAAGACGAAAUACAUCUCAAAGAGCUGAUUUUAACUUUUUUGGUUGACAAAAGCUAUCUUUUCCUUUUCUUUCUUAUUUUAUAAUUCCAAACAUAGCCAAAUAGUCAAAUUUAUAAAGUUGUAGUAAGAGUUGGUGAACAAACAAGUCCAUGCUAUUUCCUUUUUAGCAUCUUGAUUUAUGUCAAUGACAUUGUUCUUUGAUGAAAAUCGAUACGAAGUCGAAAUGUUCACGUUGAAGUGUGUGACUAUUAUUCAAAUACAUAAGAGUUACAGUUUAUAAUGUGAUUUUGCGAAUUGAAGGGACAUAACAAAGAUAAUAGCUAUAGAAUUGUUGGUUACCCUUUAGAUUUCAAGAGUAUAGAAUGAUGUUUAGUUCAUUUGAGAAUAGCGCUAUAGCAGUAUAUAUGCAUAGAUAAACUGGAAACAUACAACCAUCACCUACUUCGAAUGAUCAAGCCAAACUUUUCUCUUGCAUAGUGUCUUGGCUUGUUCUUAGUUUAAAACAAUAAUAUAAACAACAAUAAAUUAUUAAUGGCCGAAUAAUUUAUUUAAAUUUCAACAAAUUUUAUUCCCGGCCAAAAUAUGAUCAACUUUUUCAACUUAGGGCUCCUUCCCACCGUGAAAUCAUGUCAACACCUUCUCCCAAGGGCAAUAACUUAGUUUCUACGGCUUAAGCAAUAAUGCACAAGGUUGGAGAGUCAAACUUUUGCCUUUAUCGAUGAAUUCAAUGGGAAAACUAAUGCAAACUGUCCAAAAUCACCCCUCCCAAGUAUAAGAACUCAAUGUACAGAAAAUAGGUGUUUUGGGUUAUUUUCUGCAUAAAAUUCUGAUUCAGCUCAAAAUAGCAGUCCAACCCGUGAUAGCGACAACUAGUCUCGCUAUAGCGACCUCCACAUUUCGCUAUAGCGAGACACCUUUUGCCACCUAAACUCCAGAAAAAUGUCAUUUGUACAAUACAAACUCUCCCUUCAUGUCAAGUUCAAUUUCAGGAGUUCUACUUACCCGAAUUCAAUUCUGAAGGCAUUAUAGACUCCUAAAUGUCUUGGCUACAAGAAUAUAUCAACCAAAACUCAAACCAUAUCUAUUUCUGGAUGGCCCUAGACCUCACCUAUCCCAGAUUUCGUCCGAGGCUGGUCUUGUCAACAAAAUUUAAGUCACGACUCAUAAAAUUUUAUGGCCCAAAUUUUUUUCCUAUCAACCAACUCAUAACGACCAGGUCAAGCCGUUACAAUAUCUAAGUUAAGCUUAUAUGUAUUUAUGGAGAAAGAUUUCUUAUGCUCGAAACAAAUGAGAAGAAAUUUGAAACUUUUGGAUCAAUCAUACGAUAGAUACUUAUACGCGUGAUUUGCUCCUAAUUGUUGUUUCAUUUACAUAUAUUCCAUAUUUAGAUAUAGUAAGAUGUAUAUGCUUAGUAUGUAUCCGAUAUAAAUGUAUUCGAAUGCUCCAUGCAUAUAUCUGUGGAUUGAAAUAUGGCAGGAAUUAUAAUAUCGAAAACUCACAGGAAAAACAAAUAAUUAACCCCUAAACUAGUAAAAUUUGUGUUGUUUACCUUUUAUUAAAAGAAAGAUGAGUUCAAGUUUUAAAAUGUGGGUUUGACCCAUUUUAUCAAGUGAAACAUCUUUUCACUUACAAAAUUUCAAUUGUUUUCAAGUUAUAGGCAUUCAAACACAACCAAUUGUCAAAUUUCAUUUUUUAAAUAUUACAUUUUCUAUGUCGAAUUUGUCUGGACCCAUAAAAAUUAAAGUAGGCCAUCUUAAUUAAUGCAUCACCAUUGACUUUCAACAUGCAUCAAACGUUUAAUUUUCAUCAGAAACAUAUAACUCAAGAAAUAACAAUUUUUCUUCAUAUAUUUACAAAAAAGGAAACCAUUGAAAGGGCUACAAAUUUUGAGAACCCCUAAUAACCUAUAUGUGAUUAACUAGUACUAUAACAUUAACAAAAGUUCAAAUGAAAUUUGUAUAAAUCAAAGUACUAACCUUCUUCUUUUAAGACAACUAGAAUAGUUAAAAAGAAAAAUUGAUGAGAAUACAAAAGUUAAAAUUUUUCAUCAUGAGCUAUAUAAACUUCACACCUUCUAAAUUUUUCUCUUGUAGAUCAGACUCACUUCUACGAUUAAAUGAUCUUUCUCGAAUGGUAUCCAAAAGUGGUUCCCACUUUGGUGACUUUGUCGACAUUCGUUGUCCCAUACCAUAGGUUAUAAGUCGUCCUUUCUCUGGAUCAACCCAUUUACCCUCAUCUGAAAACCUAUUAGGGCUACUAGUCGGUGAGUUCCAUACUCGUUGGCUAGUAGUACCAUUCGAUGACUUUUUCUUCCUUGGCUUGUCCUUAUU
rnacentral:lncRNA from 1 species